UGGGGAUUCACUUUUUUGAGAAGAUGAUGGUGAUUAGUCUGUUCAUUUCUGAUUUUCUCCUCCAAUUUUAUUAGAUGAUUUGGAUGCUAGGGUUUUCAGUUCCAUCUCUAUUAAUACAAAGAAAUUUCACACUUUGAUCAAUCGAAUGGUGUGAUUUCAAUUACUAUGAGAUUAUUUAUUUUUUCUUUUUCUUUUCUUUUUAAACGGGGGUUUUUCCUGUCGAUU
rnacentral:lncRNA from 1 species